CUGCUGACGAGUGUACCCUUUCUACAGAAAGUAAAAAAAGGAAAAAAAGGCCUUGCUGAGGAAAUUAAACUUAUGUUCAAGUGCUAUUUCUUUAUGGCACCUAGGAACAAGCAUUUCUAACAGUAAGACUCUGUCUCAAAAAAAAAAAAGAAAGACAAAAAAAAAAAAUAUUUAAAGCUAGAAAUGCCCCUAGUUGGAUUUUGUGAGUCAACAGAUCAUAAAGAUUAAGAAAAGGCUCAGCAUCUGCUGAUCUGGGUUCAAAUCCCAGCUACACAACUCACAGCGUGCGAACCUGGCAGGGCCUCUAAGAUCUCAGUUUCCUCAUCUGUGAAAUGGGGAAACAACAGCACCAGCAUUCAACAAAGCAUUCCAUAAAUGCAAGCUGUUAGCCCAGCGUGGAGACCGAUAUUCUGGAAGUUGGUAAUGAAGAAACUGAGGCCCCAGAGGCACAGACACUGGCCCAAGUUUGCACACGAAGCUGGGGACACAGCUGAGAUGGGAGCCCAGACAGACGGGUUACAGCAAGAUUCCUGACCAACCACGCAGGCGGGCCGCGCAGUCCAGCAGCCAAGAGAACAGGCUCUAGAGGCCACCUGCCUGGAACUCAAAUAGAAAACUUGGGGUGAAACAUGCAUCUUGUAACGAGGAAGCAACCGUGUUAAUGGGUGCCAUGUACUGCAGAUGAUGGAACAGAAAGACACAGGGAGCCCGAGCCUCUGGGAGCACCACUGAGCUGCUAUGGCAGCCAGGUCUUCCCAUUUCUAGACUUCCUGUUAUAUGAAGAAACAAAAAUUUAGUUAAGGUCCUCCAGUAAUAUUUCUGUUGCAUGCAGUCAACCAUAGUCCCUAAUUCAGUGCACAAUGCCCAAGGUGCACAAAGGAGAAAGGAUAAAAGGACUUCUUAGGAACAUGAUCUUUGAGUUGAUCUUGACAAAUGAAUAGAGUCUAAGAUUUCCCAUGGGCGAAGGCACAGAGGGGCAGCCUCUUAUUCUCCCCGCCUGCCAGGGCUUCGAUACCUGAAUGUGCAGUCAUCGUGUGACACCCACCUUCCAGAACCUCUUACUUUUUCUUGGGCACCUGAAACUAAGAAUCUGGUCUUUGACCAACUAAAUCAAUCAUCACCUUCUCCCAUUCAACAUUCCAACCCCCAGGCUGGGCGCGGUGGGUCACGCCUGUAAUCCCAGCACUUUGGGAGGCCGAGGCGGGCAGAUCACCUGAGGUCAGGGGUUCAAGACCAGCCUGGUCAACAUGAUGAAACCCCAUUUCUACUAAAAAUACAAAAAAAUUAGCCAGGCGUGGUGUUAGGUGCCUGUAAUCCCAGCUACUCAAGAAGCUGAGGCAGGAGAAUCGCUUGAACGCAGAAGGUGGAGUUUGCAGUGAGCUGAGCCUGUGCCACUGCACUCCAGCCUGGGCAACAGAGUGGUAUAAGGAAGUGGGGCCUUUGGGGAAUUAUUAGCUCAUGAGGGUGGUGCUUUCAUGAGGAGGAUCAGUGCCCUUAUAAAAAAGACACUCCAGAGAGCUCCCUUGCCCCUUCUGCCAUGUGAGAACACAGUGAGAAGGUGCCAUCUAUAAACCAGGAAGUGAGCCCUCACCAGACACCAAAUCUUCCAGCACCUUGAUCUUGGACUUCCCAGCCUCCAGAACUGUGUGAAAUAAAUUUCUAUUGUUUAUAAGCCAUCCACUCUACAGUAUUUUUAUUAUAGCAGCCCACAUGGACUAAGACAGGAACCUUCUAGGAGCCUGGCUCUGGGCUCUGUGCCUCACAUUUAUCUCAUUUCACUCUUGCAACCACCCUGAGAUAAGGACAUUUGUCCCCACUUUGCAGGGGCAGAAGGAACUGAGGUGCAAAGAAAUUAGCAACCCAGCCAAGGUCACACAGCUAGUAAGUAAGGUAGGUUGGUGUGGAAUUCAGACCUGCCUGUGUACCUUCAAAGUAUGCUUGCACUCUAGUUCCCCAUUCUGCUAUCAGGAGCCUUGAAUUCAACAUCCAACCCAAACACCACCACCAUGUGUGGCUUAGAUAAAUUAAUUUCACCUCCUUGAGCCUCAGUUUGUCCAUGUCUAAGUUGAGAGAGUUCUGGGGGCUAAAUAGGAGGUCUCAAAGG
rnacentral:lncRNA from 1 species